CCUACGGGAGGCAGCAGUGAGGAAUAUUGGUCAAUGGACGAGAGUCUGAACCAGCAAAGUAGCGUGAAGGAUGACUGCCCUAGGGGUUGUACACUUCUUUUAUAUGGGAAUAAAAUUUUCCAUGUGUGGUAUUUUGUAAGUCCCCUAUGACGCAGGAUCGGCAAACUCCGUGCAAGCAGCAGCGGUAAUACGGAGGAUCCGAGCGUUAUCCGGGUUUCUUGUGUGUAAAGGGAGCGUAGGGGGAUUUAUAAGCCAGUUGUGAAAGUCUGCGGCUUAACCAUAAAAUUGCAGUUGAAACAGGUAGUCUUGAGUACAGUAGAGGUGGGUGGAAUUCGUGGUGUAGCGGUAAAA
rnacentral:rRNA from 1 species